rnacentral:rRNA from 1 species
AUUUUAUGCUCUGUAAUUGGAAUGAUGGGAAUGUAAAACCCUUCCAGAGUAACAAUUGGAGGGCAAGUCUGGUGCCAGCAGCCGCGGUAAUUCCAGCUCCAAUAGUGUAUAUUAGAGUUGUUGCAGUUAAAAAGCUCGUAGUUGGAUUUCUGCUGUGGUCAUCCGGUACCGCCCGUAUGGGUGCGCACCUGGUUUGGCUCCGGCUUUCUUCCUGUAGCCGUCCGCGCUUAGUUGCGUGUACUGUGUUACGGAACUUUUACUUUGAGAAAAAUAGAGUGUUUCAAGCAGGCUUGUCGCCCUGAAUACUUCAGCAUGGAAUAAUAGGAUAGGACCUUGGUUCUAUUUUGUUGGUUUCUAGGACCAAGGUAAUGAUUAAUAGGGACAUUGGGGGGGAUA